UGAAUAACUGGGCCUUCAACCUUGCUCAUGUUAGGACGAGGUUCUCCUCUUGUUCCUAACAUGGCUGUGGGGGCGCAUAAGGGCCAUUGUAAGGGCCUCUCCCACCAUCUGAUCUCUAAAUAACCAGACCUUCGACCUUGCUCAUGUUAGGAUGAGAUUCUCUUCCUAUUCCUAACAUGGCUGUGGGGGCACAUAAGGGCCGUUGCAAGGGCCUCUCCCCCCAUCCAGUCUCUA
rnacentral:lncRNA from 1 species